rnacentral:misc_RNA from 1 species
AAAUGCGAUAAGUAAUGUGAAUUGCAGAAUUCAGUGAAUCAUCGAAUCUUUGAACGCACAUUGCGCCUAUUAGUAUUCUAGUAGGCAUGCCUGUUCGAGCGUCAUUUCAACCCUCAAGCCCUGGUUGUGUGUUGGGUCGUCGUCCCCCCCGGGGGACGGACCCGAAAGGCAGCGGCGGCACCGUGUCCGGUCCUCGAGCGUAUGGGGCUUUGUCACCCGCUCGAUUAGGACCGGCCGGGCGCCCGCCGGCGUCAAACCCCAAUCUUUCUAAGGUUGACCUCGGAUCAGGUAGGGAUACCCGCUGAACUUAAGC